rnacentral:rRNA from 1 species
UACAGAGGUCUCAAGCGUUGUUCGGAUUCAUUGGGCGUAAAGGGUGCGUAGGUGGCGCGCUAAGUCAGGUGUGAAAUCUCGGGGCUUAACUCCGAAACUGCAUUUGAUACUGGCGUGCUUGAGGACUGGAGAGGAGACUGGAAUUCAUGGUGUAGCAGUGAAAUGCGUAGAGAUCAUGAGGAAGACCGGUGGCGAAGGCGGGUCUCUGGACAGUUCCUGACACUGAGGCACGAAGGCCAGGGGAGCAAACGGG